UAAUUACAAAUAUUAUUUGUAUUUGACCCAAGUCUGAAACAGUGGUACAGAUAGUAGUAAGUGAAACUACUAACAUUGAAAUAUUUGAUAAUUAUUAUUAUUAGGCACUGAAGAUGAGACUGAAGAUGUGACUGCUGCAGUUUCAAAUGAUGAAGCAAUAUCAUCAGGAAAGCCAUUGGUAUCAUUGGAUCCAAGAUGUCAUGCAGCAUUAAUUAAACCAAUCAGAGCACUGCGAAAAAAGGCAGAAACAACAAAUUGGAAAUCUAUAGGAACAAGGCAGAGGAUUACCAUCCGUCAAAGUUUGAAGGAAUGUCCAAUUGAUAGGUGCAUUAUGAAACGUGUCAUGAAAAGCACUACGUGGAUUCAGUGUGAGAAAUGCAAACAAUGGUUUCAUAUCAGAUCUGCUGGGUAUAGUUCUAAGAAACAAGUAGAAAAAAAAGACUUUAGAUUUAAAUGCUGUUAAAAUUAUUCAACAAAGUACUAAAAUUGAAUUAUGUUGUGUUCAUGAGUUAUUGAAUUACCUUAUUGUGUUGCUUCAUAAAAAUUAUAAAAUUUACUUAACUAAAAUUAUUCCUUUAAAAACUGA